UACAGAGACCUCGAUCGUUGUCCGGAUUCAUUGGGCGUAAAGGGUCCGUAGGCGGUAUAUCAAGUCAUUUGUCAAAUCUCAGGGCUUAACUCUGAGGCUGCGAGUGAAACUGGUGUACUUGAGGCUGGGAGAGGCAAGCGGAAUUACCGGUGUAGUCGUAAUAAGCGUUGAUAUCGGUAAGAACACCAAAGGCGAAGGCAGCUUGCUGGAACAGUUCUGACGCUCAGGGACGAAAGCGUGGGUAGCGAAUGGG
rnacentral:rRNA from 1 species